AGCUUUGUGCAGGGGCAGGAUCACGGCCCAUGAGGCUGAUCCAAAGCAUGAUUAUUGCUGCUUGAAAACUUUUCCCAAAGAGGGAAUCUUCUUUUAAUUCAUGUAAUAACUCCGCAUAGGCUAGAU
rnacentral:snRNA from 1 species